AAGGUACCCUGAAAUUAGACUGACCACUGAGAUUGACUAUUCAUUUGGCUGAACACACCUUCAAGCAGGCAUAGCAUACCAACAUAAUAGCUCUUCAUCCCACCUAAUUCUUCAAAGAAGAGAUUCAUCAUUUCCUGAAAAUUCAGUGCUAGAGUGAGCAUUAGACAGCUAGCUGCCCAGAGACCAAUCAGAUAACAGAAGAGAGAGCCUUUUCAUCUCCGGACGACUCUUCAAAGUGGUCGAUGGGAAUUUAGCCACAUGACUUCUUCAUUGAUGGAAGACAUAAAAUUAGAUCUAAGUAUUACUUCACCAGUGGUUUUUGACCCUUGUCAGCUGUGGAGCUGUAAACAUUUUCUGUGGAAGAUCUAGUCUCUUAAGAAAUUUCAUAUGUAUGGAUAGUUCCGUGAAUAUAUUAAGAUUUUUUUCAUAAUCAACUUUCAC